GUCUUUAAUUGCUUUAUUGCUUUUUCUAAUUUCAACUUGAUGAUUAUGUUUUCUCCCUUUUCUGUUAACUGUUGCUAGUGAUAAUAGAAUAGAAAUAGAAGAUUUGUUUACGUAAGAUGGAAAACCUAUAGAGUUUUGGAUAUUGUUGAAAGUGAAGCUUGCUUCAUUUAAGAUUUGGAUGAAUUAGGAGAAGCCGGUGCAAACUAAAUGGAGAAAAAGCUUUGGAUGAUGCAAAAGUAUGUUCCUAUUUGAUGAACUAGAUCCCAAAGAUGAGAAAAUACAUAGUAACUUUCAAAUUUCAUUACAUGUCAUGUUCUUGCUGUAGUUAUACCGAUUGCCAUGCAUAUGGUACUGUCUUCCCAAAUGACUCUCCCCUCUUUGAUCAUGGUGUGUCCAUUUUGGUACCCGUAUACAGUAGAUUCAACUAAUAGCAUUCUUGUUGUAUGCGAGUAGUAAAAUCCUCAAUAGAUCUGUUAGAAUAGGACUGCGCAAAGGCAUAUUUCUCUUGCAAUUUCUCUUGAGAUUCAACUACAGGCAGAUUUCUCUUGCUGUUUGGAUCUCCAGCAUGUUCAUGUUCUACUAAUCUCUAUUGCCUUCUUUUAGCAAGAGUGACAUUGUUUGUCUCUAAAUUUAUCAUACUUGAGUUCUGUAAAUAUGUUAGCACUAAAUAUUAGUCUAGUAGAGUGUAUUGUUGUGUAUUAUUGAUGAAUAACAUCCAGUCCGUGAUUCCAUUUGGAGAGGUAGUCAACUAUUUAGUUUGCGCUUCUUUUUUCCUACUUAUUUUUUGAUGAUUAUGUAUUUUCUAAAAAGUUUGGUUCUUGGUAUCCUCCUGCUCUUUUUUUAGUGCUUAUGUUUUCAUAAAUGAUGUGUUUUUGCUUUCCUUGAGCGGAGAGUCUAUUGGAGACAGUCUAUGGGUAUGUUGAUAUUGGUAUAUCAAUAUGAUUGAAGUAUGAUCACUUCUAUCAACAAUCUAGAUGCCAAAAAGUUAUAUGAAGGGAUUUAAUAGUACAAUACGACUGUUUCAGUGUAUGAGAAUUUUCUUGUUCCAACAUUCAUUGUUAUUGUUACUGUCAAAUCUGUAGGCACUCAUUCCUUUGUAUGUUAUUUUGGGCGCUGCUUUCUUGAGAGACAUAUUAGUACCUUUUCUUUAACAUGUUUGGGUGACACUUAGAUUUUAUUUAAUGUGUAAAGACUAUGCCAAAAAUGAAGAAUCAUGUGACCUUGUUGAAGUUGGGCAAAGUGAAGCAUACACUAGAUUUUAAUGAGUUUGAAUGUCGUACUUUUAAAAUUGCUUGGGAGUUGGGAUUUUAUACCAUAUUCUGAUAUGUUGAAAAGUUAGACAACACCUGCAUUUGCUUUAGUGAACCCUAAGGAAAACAAAUUGUAAAAAUACAUUACUUUAACAUUUGAAGGCUUUAUAAGUUUACGAAACCAUAUAAAGUCAUAUAUAUUAAAAACUCUUAUUUGAUGGAUGUAGAUUCUUCUAAAUUGUAAACCCAUUAUGUAACUGUAUAUAUUAUUUUUCCUGUACUCUUAUACUUUUAUAUAUGCAUAUUUUGACCAAAUUUUUUUGUAAACCAAGAAAUCUUCUCAACUAUUUCAGGUUUUGCUGUGAGGGAAUUAUUAUUAUACAGACACCAAAAUCAAGUAUCACUGAUCUGUUAACAAUAAAAUGACUAUAUUUCAAUAUUGAAAUAAUGACACACAGUUUUGUAGUUGUUAUUAUGCAUAUAUGAUAAAUAAAAAUGGUAACAAGGUACUCAAAACUCGAAACUCAUUAUGAAUUGGAUCAUCUCAUAACACAUGAUGCUGAUCCUGAUGAUUCAUAACAUGAAACUCACUAUAAUUUAAUGAUUGUUACUGAAAGAUUGAAUAUUGAUAUUUUCUUCUAGGAAUUCAAAUAUCCCAUCCAAGGAUUGGAUGGAUUUAGCAAGGUAUAGCAAAGAGGAUAUUGUUGGGGUUGAAUCAUUCCUAGAUUUCUCUUGCUCUUAUGGAGAUCCUCAAGGAGAUGAAAUUCAGUGUCCAUGUGCCAAAUGUUUUAAGAUUCAUUGGACUAGAAGGAAUAUAGUGUAUGAUCAUCUAAUAUGCUAUGAGUUUGUUAAAGGAUAUAUUUAAUGGAUCAAUCACAGAGAAUGGGAUAUCAAGUUGAAUGUUGACGAUGAUAUGAAUUACUCGCUUGAUGAUAUGGAUGGAUUGUUGAAUGAUCAAUCUUGAAAUGUUUCAUAGGAUGAAGGAGUUUAUGAUGGUCCAAAUGAAGAUUCCAAGAAAUUCUAUAACUUAGUUGAAGAGGCAAACCAAGAUUUAUAUCCAGGCUGAACUUCAGAAUCGCCAAAAAUCUGGCAAAACAGAUGAUGAUGCAUUUAGGACAGUGUUUGGAAAGGAGCAGCCUGGUCAACUUAGGUGCUAUGGAAGAUCAAUGACAACAAGAAGAAAUUUACAAGCUAAAACAAAAGCAUGCCAAUGAAAUCACUUUCCUAAAGGAAGAAAUGAGAGAUGAAAUGCGAUGUUUAUUCACUCAAUUAUUGCAAAUCAACCCUGGAUUAAUUUUCAAGAUAUACCAGGUGUGUGUUGGAUCUAACCAUGCUUCCCCGUUGAUGCAAGUAGCGCACAAGCUCUACGAGGCACAAAUCUUCCACAUUCUUCACGAUCAGCUCGUGAUUCUAUUCUUCAAAAGGAAAAUGCCGGUAAUUUAAUUUGAAUUGUGGCAGAAGUAAACUCGAUCUAUUUUUAUAGUGAACGAUGAAGAGUUUUUGUACUAUUGUCAUAUACGUUAGUAUGCAUUUGGUAUUUUGGAAUUUAUUGAUAUUAGAGAUCUUUAAGCAAUUACUUUCUAUGUUUUGGAGUUUUUAAACA